CAAGCUCCCGGCAUCUCACUGUGAGCUCUCCCUUCUCUGUUCUCCAUCCAGUUGUGGAAUAUCAAGCAUUUCUUUAUCCUAGUGCAAUAGCUGAUGCAUAGGACUCAGUGGAGAGUACAGUGGGAUAUUUAUUUUUGAUCUGUUCCUAUGUUCUUGAGUAUUAAUAACGCUGUGAAAACCUAGAUGCUGGAAGGAUUGGUACAUAACACAGUCCAAGAAUUUUGUCUGCCAAGCAAUAGCACUUGGAAAUAAACAGAGACAAAAAGUAAUACAAUAUCCUGAAGAACAGCUUCAAAAUGAUGAAAGAGCAGCACCACAGGUGCACCUUUCAUUUAUUUUUAUUAUUGCUGCAAAAAACUGGCAGACUUUUAUUGUCAAUAAGCAAAAUGGUUUGGCGUCUUACCUCUAAUCCCUGGCUAACCUUAGAUAUGAGACUCCACAAAGGAAAUGAGGAAUUUGUGGGAAACCAUUUUUUAAUGGCAGGUGUUUGGUUGGAAAUCAAGUUUGCUUUCUGGUAGUAGAUAACUUGAAUUCCUCUGUUAUCAUUCUUUGUCCUUUUCAGUCCUGUGUGUAGCCAUGAAAGCUGGAAGCCCAUGCUUCCCUAAGCACGGUUGCACCACGUAAACUAUUAAUUGGUCUAAUGCCAACAGUGAUCAAAUUAUUCCAAAGCAAACAGCCCGACUGUUGGUAAACCAAGUUUUCCACCCUCACAUGAAUAUGGGCUUCUCCCGUCAUGGAAACUCUUCAGCUAUGGAUGUCCUUAGCAUUCCCUAUGUUUGGCAUGUGAAGUUUACAUACCAGCUUCUGGCCUGUUGAUGUAUUUUGCACCAAAGUGUCAGGUGAUGGAAGAACAAUCUUUGGAGUGGAAAAAAUGUGGAACUGCAUAAGUUUAUUGUAUGUUCGUUUGCAUAGCCUGCCUUUCAGAUAAACCUUAUCCCUGCAAGUGCACUGGUACUUGAAAAAGAGUCCUUGAAUAACCUGCACAGAAGCUGAACCACCAGGGAGGUGCUACUUCGGAAAAGCAAGCAGAGGAAGGUACCUGAAGCAGAGCAGAGGAAACACUUCUGAAGGUUUAAGUUGUGCAAAGAGGUGAGAGUACAUGUCAAUGUGUCAUCUGCAUGGCUCUGAAUAAGUUAUAUCUUUCCCACUGGACUUGUGGUCAAAGCCUGCCCAUGAAGGACCAAGCAUGAUGGAACAAGAUGUAUUCCUCAGCAUUCCAGGUCUUACGUUGGUUGCAAACUUCCUACCCAGUCAUACCCUCUGAAAUCCGAAAACAACUUCCUUCAGCCUUGCAAGGUUCAUUUGAUUGGCUUCCCUUCUUCAAGAGCCUGCUUUGGGGCCCUUACACCGACUGGGCACGCACCCUUCCAGCUUCCCUUCAGCUGCUCUGUGGGCUGCUGUGGCUGUGACCGUGCCCGAACAGUGCCUGCCACUACUGAGUGAGCAGAGGAGCCCGAGGCAGGAGGUACAGGUGGAGGUGUCUCACCCAGAGAAAGCAAGCUGCUGCUGCUGCCACAGGGUUUUGAUCACAGCAGAUAACCAUGAGCUGGUUGCUCCCUGCCUUCAGUAGCACUCCUUAAGGACAAGUAAUAAGUUCUGCAGCAUUGGUACACAAAAGGAAAUGAAACCACUAUAAAAGAUACCUGCGAGCUGUAAACUCUGAGGGGAAGAAAUUACCGUCGGUUUGUCAGCUCGUCGAAGGAAAGAAAAGGAAGCCUUUGCAGAAUCUGAAGAUAUUGGAAUACAUUCUGCAAUUCCC